UGCACUGCUGUCCCCAGGGGAGGAACCGCUCUUCUCUACAUGGCCCCUGCCACUCUCAAGGCCAGACUUCAGGAGAUGAGAGUAUCCAUGAAAAUAGGAACAGGCCAAUGGGAGGAGCAGGAGUGAUUCCUAUGUGAAUUCCUGAGCAAACUGAAGGGGAAGCAACAGGCUUUUUGUAGCUGCCAGUCACUGAGGCUUAACUGCUGGGUCAUCUCCUUAGCAUAUGACAGUGACCACAUUGCAGUGGCUGCACCUUUCAUCUCCCUUCAGUUUCUGACUCCUGUGCCAGCUUUUUCCCAAGGCACUCAUUUAACAUCAAAUGAAGCGGUGCAACACGCUCGUGCCCAUGAAUUCGCUGAUCAGGCCAUGUUCUUCAACAUUCUGAAGCAUCCGGCUCGAAUGA